rnacentral:rRNA from 1 species
UACGGGGGGGGUAAGCGUUGUUCGGAAUUACUGGGCGUAAAGGGCUCGUAGGCGGCCAACUAAGUCAGACGUGAAAUCCCUCAGCUUAACUGGGGAACUGCGUCUGAUACUGGAUGGCUUGGAUCCGGGAGAGGGAUGCGGAAUUCCAGGUGUAGCGGUGAAAUGCGUAGAUAUCUGGAGGAACACCGGUGGCGAAGGCGGCAUUCUGGACCGAUAUUGACGCUGAGGAGCGAAAGCCAGGGGAGCAAACGGG